GUUUACACAGGGGUGAGAAUGUGGGGGUGGGGAGGAUAAGAUUUAUGGGGGCAAUGCGAGGGGAAUGGCAUGUGAUAAAGACAGAGAAGUGCAUAUGCAACAAGCUUGUCACUGAGGAGAAGAAUGACAAUGAUGGGCAUAGUUUGCUUUGCUUUGUUUUCUUAUUUUUGAGAAAGUAACAUUGUCACCAAGACUGCCUGGAAGAGAAAGAGAGACAAGUGAGAAGAUUCUUGCCAUCAUUCAGGCUAAUGUUGAUGAUAAUUGAGCAUAGUAAAGGUGGAGAGGAGGAGAUGCCACAUUUGGAAAGCAAUUCUAACAGAAUCCACAUGAUUUCAAGUCUAAUUAUGCAUAUAUUCUGAGUUAUCAAUGAUUCAAGUGGUCCUAUUAUUGCAAGACUACAAAGACAACAGCAUCAGAAGGUUUUCAGUUCUGGAAAAUCUAUGCAAAAUAGAAGUUAGCAGAUGGAUCAAGAAACCCACAGAACAAUGUUUGUGUUGAAGAAUUCUCAGCAAGUGCCCUGUGAGAGUGCUCCCAUCUGGAAAGGACUGCAGCUGUCUUUUGGCAUGAACUAGAUGGGUGUUUGUAACAGGUUCAUGUCAACUCUUUUAUAGAAAAUCAACUCCUAAAAUCAUUGUAAAAUUAAAGAGUUAUUUUUAUGAAUUUCUCCAUCCUGUAUUAAUUCAGGCACCUAACUCCAUUUUGAAUUUAAAGUGGCCUUGGCCAUUUUGUCAAUUAUCAUCUUUGCCUUGGUAGAUGAAGAAACACAUUCUGCUGGUCAGAGAGUGAGGCUGGUUAGAGUGGACCUGCCAAAAGGAAUUUGGAAAUAAUUGAAGAGUUGGAA
rnacentral:lncRNA from 10 species